GACAUGGUGGUGCAGUGGUAAAGUGCACUUGACUUAGCAUUAAAAGGUCCUGAGUUCAAGUCCUUGCCAUGGCU